GGGGCGCUUUCCGGAUUAUUGGGCGUAAGAGCUCGUAGGCGGUUUGUCGCGUCUGCCGUGAAAGUCCGGGGCUCAACUCCGGAUCUGCGGUGGGUACGGGCAGACUAGAGUGAUGUAGGGGAGACUGGAAUUCCUGGUGUAGCGGUGAAAUGCGCAGAUAUCAGGAGGAACACCGAUGGCGAAGGCAGGUCUCUGGGCAUUAACUGACGCUGAGGAGCGAAAGCAUGGGGAGCGAACAGGAUUAGAUACCCUGGUAGUCCAUGCCGUAAACGUUGGGCACUAGGUGUGGGGGACAUUCCACGUUUUCCGCGCCGUAGCUAACGCAUUAAGUGCCCCGCCUGGGGAGUACGGCCGCAAGGCUAAAACUCAAAGGAAUUGACGGGGGCCCGCACAAGCGGCGGAGCAUGCGGAUUAAUUCGAUGCAACGCGAAGAACCUUACCAAGGCUUGACAUGAACCGGUAAGACCUGGAAACAGGUCCCCCACUUGUGGCCGGUUUACAGGUGGUGCAUGGUUGUCGUCAGCUCGUGUCGUGAGAUGUUGGGUUAAGUCCCGCAACGAGCGCAACCCUCGUUCCAUGUUGCCAGCGCGUUAUGGCGGGGACUCAUGGGAGACUGCCGGGGUCAACUCGGAGGAAGGUGGGGACGACGUCAAAUCAUCAUGCCCCUUAUGUCUUGGGCUUCACGCAUGCUACAAUGGCCGGUACAAAGGGUUGCGAUACUGUGAGGUGGAGCUAAUCCCAAAAAGCCGGUCUCAGUUCGGAUUGGGGGUCUGCAACUCGACCCCAUGAAGUCGGAGUCGCUAGUAAUCGCAGAUCAGCAACGCUGCGGUGAAUACGUUCCCGGGCCUUGUACACACCGCCCGUCAAGUCACGAAAGUUGGUAACACCCGAAGCCGGUGGCCUAACCCCUUGUGGGAGGGAGCUGUCGAAGGUGGGACUGGCGAUUGGACUAAGUCGUAACAAGUAAC
rnacentral:rRNA from 1 species